rnacentral:sRNA from 2 species
CGCAGGCCAGGAGGCUAUAGAAGGAAGGAUGACUCAAGGAGUGAGGGGUCAGGAGCGCCAGGAGGCGAAGACAGGACAAAACGUCUGGAGACGUUUACAAGGAAAAAGGAACCCCAACAGGGAAUGUUCGACGCUAACGGAAAAACAGGGCUGGUUGAUAGCGCACACGGAAUGUAGAACCCAUUAUGGGUUAAGGGUCAAGAAAAAAGGCGACAGUUUGCACUGUCGCCUUUUUUCUUUGCUUGCUU